CACGUAGUUAGCCGUGGCUUUCUGAUUAGGUACCGUCAAGAUGUGCACAGUUACUUACACAUUUGUUCUUCCCUAACAACAGAGUUUUACGAGCCGAAACCCUUCAUCACUCACGCGGCGUUGCUCCGUCAGGCUUUCGCCCAUUGCGGAAGAUUCCCUACUGCUGCCUCCCGUAGGAGUCUGGACCGUGUCUCAGUUCCAGUGUGGCCGAUCACCCUCUCAGGUCGGCUACGUAUCGUCGCCUUGGUAAGCCGUUACCUUACCAACUAGCUAAUACGGCGCGGGUCCAUCUAUAAGUGAUAGCAAAACCAUCUUUCACUUUAGAACCAUGCGGUUCUAAAUGUUAUCCGGUAUUAGCUCCGGUUUCCCGAAGUUAUCCCAGUCUUAUAGGUAGGUUACCCACGUGUUACUCACCCGUCCGCCGCUAACUUCAAAGGAGCAAGCUCCUUAUCUGUUCGCUCGACUUGCAUGUAUUAGGCACGCCGCCAGCGUUCAUCCUGAGCCAGGAUCAAACUCU
rnacentral:rRNA from 1 species